UACGGAGGGGGCUAGCGUUGUUCGGAAUUACUGGGCGUAAAGCGCACGUAGGCGGCUUUGCAAGUCAGAGGUGAAAGCCCGGGGCUCAACCCCGGAAUUGCCUUUGAGACUGCAUCGCUAGAAUUGUGGAGAGGUAAGUGGAAUUCCGAGUGUAGAGGUGAAAUUCGUAGAUAUUCGCAAGAACACCAGUGGCGAAGGCGGCUCACUGGCCCGAUACUGACGCUGAGGCACGAAAGCGUGGGGAGCAAACAGG
rnacentral:rRNA from 1 species